AUUAUCUGUAAACAAUCUGUACGAUAAUUUUUCCAGCUAAUGAGAAUCAGUUUUCCUUUGUAAAAGAAACCAAAAAUUACUCAUGAAAAACAAGAUAAUAAUGUUCAUUAAAGCAAGAUUUCCUGCUUACUGAUUUAAAUCAUGAUUAAAAUGAUGUAAAUUCUUCCACUCUGGUUCUUUCGCUGUAAGAUUUUGUUCCUGCCAUUAGAAUUAUGCAGAGAAAUAUAUACUGAAUACAUGUCAUGUCUUACUUUUGCAAGGCUUUCUGAAGACCCCCAAAAAUCCUAAUAUAUUUCAGAUUUAAAAUGGCUGAUUAUAGUUGUAACCAAGGGAAAACACAGAUAGAGAAAAUGCUUUGUCUCCUGUGAUUCCAUGAUUCUGUGAUUAUGGACUCAGCACACGCUGAAGAAGUAAGAAAAAGAUCAACAUCAUGCAGCAGCACAGUUGUGUUACCAGAUCUUGCCCUUUUGCCUCAUUGUGCAAUAACAGAAUUUCAUGGAAUUUCAUCAUUUCUUGAACACCUUUUUUUUUUUCUUUUUUCUUCUGUUAUUUGUUUCAGUCAAAUCCCUUGCUGUUAGACUGUUAGAUUUUGGCUGACAGCUCAAUCUAGCUCUUUAAAAGAAGUCUUGCUUCAUCGUUGCGUUACAGAUAUUCUCAAAAAUUCCAUCCUACUCUCUGGGAAAUUCUAAUGUUACUUUUAUUUACUCUGGUAAGCAGCCUACUGAACUUUCCCAUUUGCAAGGUGACCAGAUCCCAUCAAAACAUCAUCAAAACAGCUAAUGACUGCAUUUAUUAGAAUUAAACUCCCCUUGGAUGUGAUUUUCAUUACAGAUGGCGAGCUAGGUCUUUGCUUUCCCUCUGGGUAAAUACAGUGUCCUGACUUCCUCUAAGCAAGAAGUAACAGAUGCAUUUUUUUGUCUUGCAUAGCAACUUACAGCAGAAUGUGAAUGGAAUAAGCCAACUACAGGCAUCUACCUAUCUGUAUCUAUCAGCUGUAUAUUUGUCGGAUGCUGUUAAUCAGGUCUACCAUGCAGGCAAAGGAAAAUAAAUGCUGUGAAGAGUUCAAGCAAUUUCUGGAUUUGUUUGAAACUGCACAACCUCUUCCAGCAGCACCAAGUGAUUGAUUUGCUCUCAAACCUCCACAAAGGACUUGAUUUUACGAAGAUGAUUAAAUAGCUUGAUCUAGCAAAAGGUUGGAAUAUUUCUGGUGUGCUCACCAUAAUUUCUAAGUAACUCCUGAAUCUGCAAUCUUCAUAUUUGCUGGUGAGCUAGAAGAAAGCCACUGCACUCAGCAGUUGUAUUGUUUGUAUGAUAACUUUUAGAGUCCUCUGUUGAACCAAGUCUAACUUUGCUAUGCACUAGAUAAUCAUCUGUGUCAACUCCAGUUAACCUAUUAAAGAAUAUUUGAUUUAUGUGAGUACCUUCCAAUGACAAAGAAAGUCUGAAGACCUCUUGACAAACAUGAAGAUAACUCAUCCUCGUGACAAACACUGCUGCUACGCAGCCAGUGUUCCAUGUCCUAGGACAAAGUGACACAGGCCAGCUACCACAAUUUAAGGCAGGUCUUACAGCCUCCUCCUGCUCCCGUGCUCUGCGUCUCUUCCCUGGCCCUCACAAAGGCUCUUGUCCCUCUCCCAGGCUGCCUCAGCUCACUGGCCCUGCUGCAAAGGGCCCAGCUCUCCAUUAAUCCAUUUGCUGGAGUUUUGGACAACAAGGCUGGCCUGUCAGGGGCAAGGGGGAAAGAAACCACCCCUCUCAGCUCCCUCCACAGGCACCCAGCCUACACCUUGCAUUGUCUGCCGGCAACUUUGCUCUUCUAGACAGACAAACAAACCUUUGCUCACUCAUGGAGCCAAUCGUCAGUGUUUUGUUGGCCUGCUUACAAGUCAUUAUUUGAAGUGUUGAGUCAGACAAAAAAGUUGAUCCAUUUCUGCUAAUCCGUGAAAGAAAAGCUCAGUCUGUCCUUCUUCUCUCUGAGUUGCUCAUCUGCUUUGGUAUCAUCUAACUCAGAUAUUUUUAAAUAUGAGAAAUGUUCCUUGUCAGCAGGUACUCCUUAAUUUAAAUGGCAGGGUAGCAGAAAUUUAAACGAAUAGAAAUACAAUCUUAUCUUCAUUAAAACAAUACUGUCUGGUCUUUCUGCUGCUUGGAGGACUAGCCUUAAAGGGCAGAAGAAUAAAAGCCUUCUGUUUUACAAGCAGGCUGAAACUGAAAAAUAUUAGAUGUGGUUGAUUCUUUCAGAUGAUCUGACUUCAACCAUCCUGUAUUUAAGUUAAUUAAAAAAAAAAAGUCUUCUUAUUUGCUACUCCUGAUGUUAAUGGAAGGCAUUUUAAAUAUUUUGGUUUACGUAAAGGCAGUGAAAUGUGGUAAAAAUAGUCAGGGAAGAAAACGAAUCAUUCUUUGGAGUAAUAAAGCUGUAAAAAUAAAUCUUUUUCCAAAGAAUAAAAGCUAAAAAUAUAUAUAUUCCCAAAGAGAAUAACAUUAUCCUUAUGUUACCAGAUGCACGUAACCAGGAUGCUCCAGUCUUCAUACCAUCCCAUGGGAAUUUGCAUUUGUUUGGCCAAGAUCGAAAGAUUUUCAUUUCAAUGAAAGAUCCCUCACAGCUGUAAAACAUGUCAAAUAGUACAGACAACAUAAGACUUUUAAAAAAUUAGAAGUAUCUUUUGUAAAGUCCAAGCAAAGCUCAUUUCCUAACAUACAAUACAUCUGUGGCACAUUCAAAUUCUUACAAAUUUGUCAUUUAAUUUUAAGUAUUUAACUGCUUCAGAAGUAAGUGUUAAAGACAGGUAGGAAUGUACUACCAUAUUUUAGCUGAAGAUUCCUGAUGCUGGAUAACAAACAGGAGUAUAGUACUAGUUCUCUGACCUGAUCCCGAAAGCAACUGACCCAGCACAUUCACUCUAAGUAAGGGAAUUGGAUCAAACUCUGCUGGGCAGGAGCAGGCAAAAUGUUAACUCUGCUGCUCCGUAUAGAGAAUUCACAAAAAUUGCUUUUCACCCUCAGAGUGGACAACAUUCAGGCUAACCAACCUACCUGAACCUGUUCGAGUGUUGGCUGCUGUGGAGGUGUCUGAUGCUCAGGGCCAGCUCUGCUCCCUAUGGGUCCCAGUAGCAGCCCUGCAGCUGGCACAAGCAUGAGUGAGGACCUGAAGGAGUGACAGACCAGAAUAAAAAACACAACAAGGGAGAGGCAGAAGGGGAGUUUUACAGGGUAACUCAUUUCUGCUGGGCUCAAGAUACAUCUCAGUUUCAUUAUCUUUACCAUGCACACUCAUAUUUAGUAGAAGAAUAUUGUAGACUGGAAUGCACUCUUGUUGUGACAGCUGUUUAGAGUCAUGUAAAUCCAGGUGAAUUCAUUUUUACUGAAGAUUUUGCCUGAAUCCAUAAUUUGAUUAAGUCAUCUAGACUUGUUGCAUAGUGACUUAUCUCAAAUUUUGGUAGCUGGAAGUGAAAUUGAAGAAUUGUCUGAAGAAAUAAGACAAAUAGGCAAACAUAUAUAGAAUGGAUCUUCAAGUGGUGUUAGUGCACAAUGCACUGAGACAUUCUGUACUGGAUCUUGGUUUAUUGGCAGCUUUAUAUUUUCAGGGAAAGGUAUAGAAUGAGAAAGAGAAAAUAACUUUACAGUUUCAUUACAAAUGCUGAGAGAAGGGAGACGGUUCGAAGAUUAAUUUUGAAUACGAUCAAAAACACCUAAAAUAAAACAAAUAAACACUUUUCUAAAGAUAGUGGAAGGUUUUGUACAAAACUGGAAGAAUUCAGACUAAAGAACUUUGGUGCCACUUUCCCAUAAGAUGAAGAUAAAAUAAUAGUAGAAAAAUACAGUUAGUAGGUACUGUGUUAGAGUACUGAAAGACAAUUGACACAUUUUGUCAGUAAAACUGAAAUUUUAAUUUCAAUGAAUUUUCAUUUUGA